rnacentral:rRNA from 1 species
CCUACGGGAGGCAGCAGUUAGGAAUCUUGCGCAAUGGGCGAAAGCCUGACGCAGCAACGCCGCGUGGGGGACGAAGGCUCUCGGGUUGUAAACCCCUUUCAGUGGGGACACGGUACCCACAGAAGAAGCCCCGGCCAACUACGUGCCAGCAGCCGCGGUAACACGUAGGGGGCAAGCGUUGUCCGGAUUUAUUGGGCGUAAAGAGCUCGUAGGCGGUUCGCUAAGUCGGGUGUGAAACCUCCAGGCUCAACCUGGAGACGCCACCCGAUACUGGUGGACUCGAGUCCGGUAGGGGAGCGUGGAAUUCCUGGUGUAGCGGUGAAAUGCGCAGAUAUCAGGAGGAACACCAGCGGCGAAGGCGGCGCUCUGGGCCGGACUGACGCUGAGGAGCGAAAGCGUGGGUAGCAAACAGGAUUAGAUACCCUUGUAGUC